UGGCACCCAAUGUUGAGGCUUGAGAACAUGAAGGAUUGGUGAAUGUCUCACACCAAAGCAGGCCUGCAUAUCAGUUGGACCACCAUGGAGAACACUCCAUGAGUGAAAGUCCAGUCAAGUGAUCACCACAGGGAUGCCUGACCGUGAGACAGAUCCAGAGAGUUAAUUUGUGCCAGUGCAAGGUAAGUUUACCAUAGGACAAGCAUUUAGUAAGCAGGAUUUAUUUAUUUCAGGACUUAANUAGUCUCUCAAGANACNAGGAACAAGGGUNAAAAAGAAAGAUUUNAAAAAGUUUCUUGAUUAUAUUGGGGACCUUUGUCCCU
rfam:Neotoma lepida isolate 417 scaffold_4199, whole genome shotgun sequence.